rnacentral:rRNA from 2 species
AAAUUGAAGAGUUUGAUCAUGGCUCAGAUUGAACGCUGGCGGCAGGCCUAACACAUGCAAGUCGAACGGUAACAGGAAACAGCUUGCUGUUUCGCUGACGAGUGGCGGACGGGUGAGUAAUGUCUGGGAAACUGCCUGAUGGAGGGGGAUAACUACUGGAAACGGUAGCUAAUACCGCAUAAUGUCGCAAGACUAAAGAGGGGGACCUUCGGGCCUCUUGCCAUCGGAUGUGCCCAGAUGGGAUUAGCUAGUAGGUGGG